rnacentral:rRNA from 1 species
GAUCAUGGCUCAGGAUGAACGCUGGCGGCGUGCCUAACACAUGCAAGUCGAACGAAGCACUUUGGCUGAUCCUUCGGGUGAUACUUUAGUGACUGAGUGGCGGACGGGUGAGUAACGCGUGGGUAACCUGCCCUGUACAGGGGGAUAACAGUCAGAAAUGACUGCUAAUACCGCAUAAGCGCACGAAGGGACAUCCCUUAGUGUGAAAAACUCCGGUGGUACAGGAUGGGCCCGCGUCUGAUUAGCUUGUUGGCGGGGUAAUAGCCCACCAAGGCGACGAUCAGUAGCCGGUCUGAGAGGAUGAACGGCCACAUUGGAACUGAGACACGGUCCAAACUCCUACGGGAGGCAGCAGUGGGGAAUAUUGCACAAUGGGGGGAACCCUGAUGCCAGCAACGCCGCGUGAGUGAAGAAGUAUUUCGGUAUGUAAAGCUCUAUCAGCAGGGAAGAUAAUGACGGUACCUGACUAAGAAGCUCCGGCUAAAUACGUGCCAGCCGCCGC